rnacentral:snRNA from 1 species
GUAAUUACUUUAAUACACAUACUAAAAUCGUAAUGAUACAAAGACUAGCAUGGCCUCUGCACAAAGAUGACACAUACAUACGUGAAGCAUUCCAUAUUUAA